GAAGCGCCGUAGUCUGAAAAUUGACCGCUAGAUGGCGCAGGCGACGAUUCUGGACAUUUGCCACCAACGAUGCCGUCGUCGUUGGUCUCGUCGGAUGCCUCCUCUUUGAGCUCUUCUAAGGAGGAGAGGUGGUUUCCCCAGGGUCAUUGUUGGAUAAUAGCAAAACCAAUCUCUGCAUUGUAGAAAAUCGGGAAAUUAAGAAACGUCAACUUUCCUUGUAUGCCAGUAAAGGCUUAUAUUGCGUCCCGCCCGUCUAUCUGAGGAAUCUUAUCCUGGCCGUGGGCAACAAGCUGCAAUGGAGUGAAUCAGUUUUGCCAGUGUUCCUUCCUUAUCUUUCAAGUAUGCCUUUCACUAGUUCUUGAUUAUGUUUAAAUUAUUAGUCGUCUUCGUUAAAUGUUCUUCUUCCAAUUGAAAACAUUUGGCGAAAAUAAACAAGUCAUACUGGUUA